rnacentral:rRNA from 1 species
UACGUAGGGUGCGAGCGUUGUCCGGAUUUAUUGGGCGUAAAGAGCUUGUAGGCGGCUCGUCACGUCGGGUGUGAAAACUCGCGGCUCAACCGCGAGCCUGCACCCGAUACGGGCGGGCUAGAGUUCGGCAGGGGAGACUGGAAUUCAUGGUGUAGCAGUGAAAUGCGUAGAUAUCAAGUGGAACACCAGUGGCGAAGGCGAGUCUCUGGGCCAUUACUGACGCUGAGGAGCGAAAGCGUGGGGAGCGAACAGG